rnacentral:lncRNA from 1 species
GCCACACUGUGCAUAUUGGCUAAUGCCUAUAAAAAUCAAUCAACCCCAACACCCAAAGCCGUCCAGGAGUGCAGAGUACUUUACAUCAUCGGGUUGAGGCCGUUUUCUCCUUCUUACAUCCUUCCUAGUACACUAAGUUAAAAGCUGAAAUCUUCCCAGUACAUUACGCAGGCCUUCCGUCUGGGGGUCUGGGGGAAAAACGCUAGCCUCUGCAUGGGGUUCCUUCGGGCCUUCAACUUGAAGCAGCCAAUUUACAUAUGCUGUGAUAACUGAUAUACCGGCAUACAUUUAAAUUAUAUAUAAUGUUUCCUUAUAGAGCGUUUGUUCGCUCGCUCUCCCACAUUCCGCCCCUCACCAGUCGCACAAACACAAAAAUAAGGCUAGUUCUAAUGUCAGUAGAACAAGAGCUGGUGGCUCAGGCUGCUUGGGACGCGAGUUCUCGCGCUGCUGACCGCUCGUUGACCAGCUCGGCGACGCUGCUGCUGAGACGUCAGCUGAAGCCAGCUAUCACAAGAGACUUACAACUGUGCCUCACAAAUGAUCAGCUCUGCUUUUAAUGUUUUAAUGGGGAAGUGUUGGUCAAAAACGCCAUACAUUCAACAUCACGACCGUUGUCACGCCUCACGGAAGUCCACAGGUUAGUCCACAGGUUAAAAUGAGAAUGGGAGGCUUUGAACCUGCAGCCCGGAUUGCCCGCCCGGCCAUAUGUCACAACCCCGUGUGUGUAUGUGUACUUGCAGGAUCCUCCGCCAUGCUCUUGAGGACCGGAGCCAGGAGCCGUUCGAGGGUGAGCCCAUGGAGAGGGUACCUGCAAGCAGAGAACUGCGGUCUUCGUGCGGGGUUGGGAGGGCGAGCCCGAAGCGCCGUGUAGCCACGCAAAGAUAGAGCGUAGCCAGGGACGACGGCGUCAGUACUGACAGAACGAAACUCGCAAAGUAGCGAGCGCGACACAGCGCUCUGCUACUUAACCGGGCCCACCGCCCAUGCCGCGCAUGGGCCCCAAACAACAAACACACACACGCCACGCCCCUUCGGGGCCCACAACUGUGCACACUCCGAGCGCAGGAAACCUUGGUUUCCGACAACUCGCUGCGCUCGAGCGGAAACCAUCAGGAAAUAUGUUUGAGCAGAUGCCGUAGAUGCAGGUAGAUGCAGGUAGAUGCAGGUCCCCAGCGGCUGCAACCCUGGCGCAAGAUGGUUCACAACCCCUUCACUCACGUUGUGUUUGCUGGUCGGAGCCUUCAAGAGAUGACUGUUUGCUGCCUCCCUUACUAGCUCUGUAUGGUAUGUAUGUCUAUAUCACUUCCUGGUACCUCUAGUCCGUGUCACAUACCCGCCUGCUGCCACACGCCCCUUCCCCCAGGUCGGCUGGCUGGACUGCCGCCACACCUCCAACAUUGUGUUUAGCAAUGGUGAGUGUUCGCAUCACCAAUAGGCCUACACACCGGAACACAUACAGGCCCGCUUCAUGAGAUAGGUCCGGUGCACUGCCAAGCACUCUGUUCUUUGCUGGCAGCCUUGCAUUGGCAUUGGCACCUUGCGGCAGGAGUGCAGGGUGUGUUCACAUGUGUGCACGCGUGGAUGCAGGUGCAGCCAGUGGAGGCAGAACUACAGGAGCUAGCAUGAUACAAGCUGUCCGGCACUAGAGCUGGAGACGGGCGUGGUGGCACCAGUGGCGGCUGCUGUGGAGGCGGGUGAUGUGCCGACUGCAGUGGAGGCAGGUGUCAAGGUGGUGGGAGACAUCAUGCCCAGCAGACACGCAAGUGGUUGUUGCACGGUUGACACACUCAUACCAUUUAGACAUCAUAUGGCAGGCUUGGGUUGAUGGCACAGACUUCAUAUAGUGUUGUAGACAGUGGCAGACCGGGAGAGCAAGACUGUGGUGGGCUUUGAAUGCACGGAGACUCAGCUGGAGAGUGCCAAGGUGUAGGGAAGUAGAGGGCUAACUGAGUAUGGUGUUGUUGGUGAGUUGGACUGGGAACACAAGGCAGGUGACCUCCUCGCUGCCCUGCCACCGUUGGUCUCUUGGGCACGAGAUGAAGUACAUUGAUGCAGUCAGUGGAAUGCAGUAGUACUGGUGCGUGGGGGCAGUUGACAUGGGUUGGUGAGGGCACUUGGCAUAAAAUGCAGCAGGCUGAUGUGUGUGGUCACUGCUAGGGCAGGGCUUGUAUCAAGGUGGAAUCAUAUAAAGGAGACACUUUACAGGCCAUAAUGAACAACCCUAAACCCAGGCUGGCAGGCGGGCUGGGCGGGGGCUGCACGGCAUGCAGCUGGGCGGGGGCUGGGCGGGCCUGGGCGGGGGCUGGGCGGGCCUGGGAGGGGGCUGGGUGGAGGCUGGGCGGCAGCUGGGCGGGCCUGGGCCACAGCACGGUAACCAAGCGGUCACUGCAAGGUAACCAGUUGGUCCGACACUGGUGACCAUGCGGUCUGUUAACCGCUGGUAACCAGUGAGGCGGUCUAUUAACCGUCGGUCUGCGGCCUGAAGCCCAAAUAAACCGAUGGUAACCUGAGUGCCAAACCAGCCAUUCCUCCCGGGAUAACCGCUGGGUAACCAGCGAUUAACCGAUGGUUUAAUAGGGGCUGGAACGGUAGGGAUGUCCCAGUAGCGCCGCAGUGCCAGCUCCGCCGACCUGCAGGGCUUGCCAGCACGGUGCCUCGACACAUCCUUCCUUGCAACAUUGCCCGCGCGCCAGUUGCAUGUCUGCAGCAGCCCCGGUGACACCUCAUACACCCGCCCAUCCAGCAACUGCUGCAGCUCCAGCGGGAUCUGCAGCAGGUCACACACCCGCUGCAGCUCCGCACCCUCAGUGCGCUCCCCCAAAUGUGCCUGCACAUGAACACACAAUCAUGACAAAAUCAACACCUUCAUAAUGGCUUGCCCCCCUGGCCCGGCUGCCCCACUCCCUCGGCCUUAAGUACUCCAUCCCCUGGGGCCACCAUCCUCCAAGCACUCACCCCAACAGGUGGCAUUGGCACCCAGCCUCCCGGCGGCAGCUGGUCGAACUCCGCAUCAGCAUCUGCCUCCUCCUUCUCAGCCGCCACCUCCACAUCCUGCUCCGCUGUUGUCGCUGCCGCCAAAGGUUCGCCUGCCUCCAGCCCAUCACCACAGCGUUGGUCCCUGCCCACAGGCGCCGCCAGCCGCUCGCCAGACUCCGCCUCAUCAACUUCAUCCACCUGCAUGCACCCGGACAUUAGCAUUCAAUUUCAUUCCUGUUGUGGAGGUGGCUAACUGCAUUCACAUGCCCUCCGCCAGGCUCAUCCAUCCGGCACACACACACAGACACACACACAUACACACACACACACAUACACACACACACACACACACACACACACACACACACACACACACACACACACACACACACACACACACACACACACACACACACACAUACAG